UUUUUUUUUGUUUUUUUUUUUUUUUUUUUUUUUUUGUCACUCUGUCGCCCAGGCUGGAGUGCAGUGGUGUGAUGUCGGUUCACUGCAACCUCCACCUCCCGGGUUCAAGCAAUUCUCAUGCCUCAGCCUCCUGAGUAGCUGGAAUUACAGGUGCCCGCCACCACGCCUGGAAAUUUUUUGUAUUUUCAGUAGAGGUGGGGCUUUCGCCAUGUUGGUCAGGCUGGUCUCAAACUCCUGACUUCAGGUGAUCUGCCCACCUCGGCCUCCCAAAGUGUUGGUAUUACAGGCAUGAUACACCGCGCCUGGCCACUGCUAUUUCCUUCCACGUGAAGGAGCUCAGUUGGUAUAAUUUCAAGCCUGAGCCUCCCUCUGCUCCUUCGCUCAGUCUGUUCCUAGGAGGUGGAAGACUCCUCUGACUAUUAAGUGUCAACUCUGAGGAAGGUACAUUUCAGGAAGGAUGAAGGGAGCUUGCUUGGCUCAGCUCUGCCCUCUUCCUCUUGGAGUAGGGGUGCGUAGCAACCUGCUAUUUCCCUCUGCACCCCCAAGCUCUGCCACUGCCUGUGAGCGCAGCUUUCACAAGCUGUGCGUUUGUACUCCGAACUAAGCUUUAGCUUCCAACUUAGCCUUUGUCAUAAUAUAUUUUAUGUCUUGCUUCAUGUUUCAUUUCUCAGUCUAUUCAGAUCUCCAGUUGAGAUAAAAGUGUGUGUUUUUAUUUUAGAACCUGUCACGUCAAUACUUAGUGCAUAAACAAGGAACACUGACAAAUAUGAUGACAAGAGGGGAAUUUGGGGAAGACAGGCUGUUAGUGGGAGCAAGGUUUUGUGGCUUUGGACUUUGGACUUCUGUGUAUAAAGAGUAAUUGACCUUCACACUUUCUACAGGAUCAUGUGAGGUCAGAUGAGAUUUUAAAAUUGUGCAGUGGCCUAUGGUGAAUUUUUUUAAAUUUAGUUUUAAGUUCUGGGAUACAUGUGCAAAACAUGCAGGUUUGUUACUUAAGUAAACAUGUGCCAUGGUGGUUUACUGCACCGAUCAACCCAUCACCUAGGUAUUAAGUCCUGCAUGCAUUAGCUAUUUACCCUGAUGCUCUCCCUCCCUCUGCCCCCACCCUGACAGAAAGAUCCCAGUAUGUUGUUCCCCUCCCUGUGUCCAUGUGUUCUCAUUGUUCAGCUCUCACUUAUAAGUGAGAACAUGCAGUGUUUGGUUUUCUGUUCCUGCAUUAGUUUGCUGAGGAUAAUUGACAGUCCCAAAUACAUGGAAUCAACCCAAAUGCCCAUCAAUGAUAGACUGGUUAAAGAAAACGUGUUACAUAUACACUAUGGAAUACUAUGCAGCCAUAAAAAGGAAAGAAAUCAUGUCCUUUGCAGGGACAUGGAUUGAUCUGGAAGCUAUAAUGAAAUUUUUAUCAUACUGGGUAACCACAACUUAUGACAAUUUUAUGUGCACGCCAUGGCUGUUUGUAUAGAUGGGGGAGUGGACUUUGAGGACUCAAGUAAAUGGUGCUCAGACUUACUGAACCUACAGAAAUUUGGGCCUCAGCAAGGAGUGGAGAAGAACUUGGUUCUCCAACGGCCCCGACUGCAAGGGCCCCAGCUUGAGCACAAGCCUCCAGCAGGCACAGGGAGAACCAGGUACGAGUUCACCC
ensembl:lncRNA